UACAGAGGUCCCAAGCGUUGUUCGGAUUCAUUGGGCGUAAAGGGUGCGUAGGCGGCGCGGUAAGUCGGGUGUGAAAUCUCGGAGCUUAACUCCGAAACUGCAUUCGAUACUGCCGUGCUUGAGGACUGGAGAGGAGACUGGAAUUUACGGUGUAGCGGUGAAAUGCGUAGAUAUCGUAAGGAAGACCAGUGGCGAAGGCGAGUCUCUGGACAGUUACUGACACUGAGACACGAAGGCCAGGGGAGCAAACGGG
rnacentral:rRNA from 1 species